GAUGAACGCUAGCGGCAGGCCUAAUACAUGCAAGUCGAGGGGCAGCGGAGGUAGCAAUACUUGCCGGCGACCGGCGCACGGGUGCGUAACACGUAUACAAUCUGCCUUCUACAGGGGGAUAGCCUUUCGAAAGAGAGAUUAAUACCCCAUAAUACAAGCGAUAGCAUUAUAUAUUGUUGAAAGUUCCGACGGUAGAAGAUGAGAAUGCUGGUGAUAAGCUAGUUGGGGAGGUAACGGCUCACCAAGGCUACGAUCACUAUGGGAUCUGAGAGGACUACCCCCCACACUGGUACUGAGACACGGACCAGACUCCUACGGGAGGCAUCAGUAAGGAAUAUUGGACAAUGGAGGCAACUCUGAUCCAGCCAUGCCGCGUGAAGGAUGAAGGCCCUAUGGGUCGUAAACUUCUUUUGUACGAGAGAAAACCUAUUUACGAGUAGAUAGUUGAUAGUAUCGUAAGAAUAAGGAUCGGCUAACUUCGUGCCAGCAGCCGCCGUAAAAC
rnacentral:rRNA from 1 species